rnacentral:misc_RNA from 1 species
AAUUGAUGCUUAGGCACUAUUCUUGGACUCACAAGAAGGAGAUAUACACAAUACAGAGCAGCGGCAUGAGCUUAUUUGAUCAGUAUCAAGAACUUGUUUUCCCCUUCAAGAAGAGCUACUCUCAGUACUUUGAGAUUGUUGGUUCUUGUAAUGGGAUUCUUUGUCUUUCUGAUACUUAUCGUGUCAAUUCUCACACUAUCAUUUUAUGGAAUCCCAC